rnacentral:tRNA from 1 species
AACUAAAAAAAAGCAUUUGUUUUGAAAACAAAAGAUAGAAUUAUAUUCUAUUAACUUUUAAUUUCUUAA